rnacentral:rRNA from 1 species
GAUGAACGCUAGCGGCAGGCUUAACACAUGCAAGUCGAGGGGUAUAGUUCUUCGGAACUAGAGACCGGCGCACGGGUGCGUAACGCGUAUGCAAUCUACCUUUUGCAGAGGGAUAGCCCCAGAGAAAUUUGGAUUAAUACCUCAUAGUAUAGCAGUUUCGCAUGAAACCACUAUUAAAGUCACAACGGUGAAAGAUGAGCAUGCGUCCCAUUAGCUAGUUGGUAAGGUAACGGCUUACCAAGGCAACGAUGGGUAGGGGUCCUGAGAGGGAGAUCCCCCACACUGGUACUGAGACACGGACCAGACUCCUACGGGAGGCAGCAGUGAGGAAUAUUGGACAAUGGGCGCAAGCCUGAUCCAGCCAUGCCGCGUGCAGGAUGACGGUCCUAUGGAUUGUAAACUGCUUUUAUACAGGAAGAACACUACUUCGUGAAGUAGCUUGACGGUACUGUAAGAAUAAGGAUCGGCUAACUCCGUGCCAGCA